UGGGACCUCCCUGGCAAUAAAAGAGCCCAUUGUGGAGCUUCACUUUGAAAGCAGCUGAUCUCGGACUCCGCGCACAGGUUGGCACGUGCAGCCGAAGCGUGGAGGGUAACACGCUUGUGGUACUGGCACGUUGCCCAAGAGUUGUUUUCAAUGUCAAGCUUUCGCUGGGUUUGGUGAAAUAUCCUUAUCCUGUACUAAGGAGACGCAUUGCAUCGCCUUCUCCCCAUCCAUUACGCAGGCACCGGUCGCAGACAAGAAAGCAAAAGACAAGGCAGUCUGCUGGAAACAGAAUUUCAUCCUGGCUAUGUAUGGCUGAGAGUGUUUAAAGAUAUUUUGUAGUUGUAACUGUAGAAGAAAUUGCCCCGCUAUCUUUCCAUUUCUCCUUGACACGCAUCCAAAAGAACAUCAAUAUUUCUGUUAAGACAUCGCUAGACUUGACUGCUGUGAUGCUGCUAUUACUCUUCCCUUUCCUUUAAUUAUUUUCUUCUGUAUAUAGCAAUUUGUUUUCCCCAACUGAUAAAUAUCAUCAAUUUAAGGAAUGUUACUAUAAUAUAACUCCAUGAAUAUAUUUAGUAUAUAGAAAGCGUGCUCUCCCUUCGUCAUUAUAAUAGAAAUACAACUUGAUUUAUAAUAUUAUUCUCUCCUACAAUCAAUUUAUUUUUUCUAUGAAAAAUCUGCAGGUGUUGGAAAGAGAAGAGACAGUAUUUGCCCGUGAGUUUAUCUUUUUGGGGGUUUAAAAUUGCCCUCCGGGCUCUUUUGAAAGGGUGAGGUGGGCUGGCAGCGAGGCAGCCCGAGCCCCCUCGCAGCCCAACCUCGGAAUGCGGAGCAAGGCUUCAACCUUGGCUCCUGGGCAUUGCUCCUAGGAGGGACAGGACAUGUCCUACAUGCCCACAGACCCAUGGCUGGCUGAGCGUCUUCCCAGGACAUCACCAAACCUUUCCUGGUGGAGGGGUGACAGUGGGUAAGGAGAUGCCCCUCUCCAGCUGCUGCCAUCCAUCCGUCCAUCCAUCCAUCCAUCCAUCCAUCCAUCCAUCCAUCCAUCCAUCCAUCGGGAUGCAGGAACCCACCUUGCCAAGUUCUCUACUGCAAAGCAGAUCGCAUUAGCGCAAACUGCUGCUGAACAGGGUUUACUCUAAUCUGCUUUGCUUUGCAGAGCAACAGCUACAAGUGGUGGUGAGCUCCUUAGUCACCGUGCCUCAGCUGAGGGCUGGAAAUUAAUAGCUGAGAGGCAAUAACUUACAUUUCUACAUCUGUUCCACCAGUGAGCUCCCAACUGCGCUAACGUUCACAUUUCAACCGCUCCACGAGCCAGACCAAGUGAUGGUAUUAUUCAUCGCAUGCUGCACGUUCCCGCUUGUUUCCCGGGCUGGCGCUUGUCAGAGCGCAAGGGAAGUAUUUGAACAGCUUUUCACUGUCUGUCUGGACACAGGGAAAUUUUGUUCCCUGACAACGAUGCACAAACGCAUGCUGGGUUUGACAUAACGAAGCGAAAGCCAGAUCGGGAACUCACUGGAAAACACACCUGUAAUUUCUGGUGCGUUUGUCUCUGCUGCUCAGGGGGUCACUCAUGCUGAGGAAAUUCCUGUCCGCCUCUCACGCUGCUUCUCACAAGAUAUUUCCCCUUUGCCAGAUCUCUCCAUCAGCUACAUUUUGUUACCACAAUUUGUUGCAAAUUCUCAAUUUUAAUUUUUUUUUUUCUUUCAUAACACCUGUUAUCUUUUCUUAAAUGGUUGCUCAGAAAUACAGACAGGUUCCUCCCACCUCCCCAUCUCUGAUACGUAAGGGAGGCGUUUGUUUAAUGAGAUCUCAGCUGCCAACUGUGGCACGGUGGGUUUCUACAUUUUCAACGGCACUUCUUAUUCUCAAGCUCUGGUUUUCCACCCCACGGUUUACAUGACACUCAAUGCUAAUGCCAUUGCCUGAACCAUAGUGAUUUCUGCCUCUAAUCUUUCAAUACCUUCUGGUACUUUUAACAUCCUUGGAGAUGCUGACAAGGGCAAGACCCUACUUGACCUGCUCCGAGCAGGAGGCUGGACUGGAGGAGCUCUGGAGAUCUGUUUCCACCCUCAGCCUGUGAUUACCUUUUUCCUUAACAAAUGGCAAAAUUUUUCUCUCAACUAGUAAUUUUGUUAAAAAUACACCAUAGAUACUGCUAUUUGCUCCAUUUUCAACUCAUCUUGAUUACUCAAUACUCAGAGGGGAUAUAAAGUGCUUUUCAAUGUGCAUAUUUGUUAUUAUUUCUUUACCAGAGGCCUUUUUACGUUGACUGUGUCCUGGAGUAAUGUGUAUGUAUCAGGCAGCAGGUACUGCAUGAUGCUGUCAAAUUGUAUAAAGUACUAUAAUUUUUGCCAAGGAAGUGCAAAUCUUUGAAUUUUUUAUGUAUCCUGAAUCUAUUUCCUUAUAAAAUAAAUACCUACCAGACACGGUUUCUUCUUAGUGGAGGCAUGCUCAGGGAAGAGCUCACUUGCUUGUGUGCUGCUCCCUCCCUGUCCCGAUCCCCCUCGUUACUCUCAAUUUUUGCUUCAAGAAAUCAGCCCCAAGUGACGGUGUAUAACCCUGCGCCUCCGCGCCCCGGUGGGACUGGUGGCUGUAGCCUGCAGGGUGUGACAACGCCGUGCAUCACCCCUUCCAGUCCCUAAAGGGGCUCCAGGAAAGCUGGGGAGGGACUCUGGAGCAGGGAGGGGAGCCACAGGACCAGGGGGAAGGGUUUUACACUGAAAGAGGAGAGAUUGAGAUGAGAUAUUGUGAGGAAAUUGUUUGCUGUGAGGGUGGUGAGCCCCUGGCCCAGGUUGCCCAGAGCAGCUGUGGCUGCCCCAUCCCUGGAGGGGUUCAAGGCCAGGUUGGACGGGGCUUGGAGCAACCUGGGCUGGUGGGAGGUGUCCCUGCCCAGGGCAGGGGGUGCCACUGUGUGGCCUUUAAGGUCCCUUCCAGCUCUAACCAUUCCGUGAUUCCAUGGCCGACACCACUAAAGGUGCUUUGGCUAUAGCAGGUGGUGUGAUUUACAGCAGGCGUGUUGGGUGGAAAUUUUUGCAAAAUAUUGGCUUGAAACUCCUAUUCUUCAAUCUAUAUAAAAAUGAAUCAUGAGUAUAAUGCUUAUCUUCUGUACUCCUUUCUAAUUAGAAAGUACAACAAAACUACCCACCUACUUAGACCUUUCGAUUCUCCUAUUCUCCUAUUGCUGAAUUUAUGUGCUAUCAGUUAUUAAAAAAUCCUUCCCUCUCUGAUAUAAAUAUUCACUAGAUGCAGUUUCUUUUGUCUGCACAAUAAAUAUUACUGUGGAGCUCACCAGGAAAUUAAAGCGGAGCCUGAAGCUGACUGUCCUUGCAUGAUGUACUGCGAAUGAACUGUGUCCUAUGGGGAUUAUUCCAGUCCCCGAACAUCAUACUUCUUGUAUCUAAACAUCAAAAUAUGUUUUCUUCCAACUUCCAAACAGCAGUACACAUAUAAAUUUUCUAAUGGAUUUUCUGUUUAGCUGUCAGUUUAGCUGAUCCAGUAGACAGAAAUAUAGCAGCAACAUCCACUUAUUUUGAAAGUACCUUCACAUUCCCAAAGUUGCUUUGAAUUUGGUUUGAUAGUCUGAGACUUUAAGUAACACGGGAAAUUGCAUACUAAGCACUUUCUUUUAAACUCCUUCCUAUUUUCCAUUAUGAGAAUUAUCAGUGCUGGGUGGGGGAUUAAGAAAAGCUAUUAAAGCCAUUCUUCCAAGCAGGUUUUUCAAAUUUAGUGAGAACAAAGCCUUGCAGUUCGGAGAUGCCUAUUCCCUCGUCCCCGUGCGCUCCUUUCAGCUCUGGCUGGGCCAUCAAUUGCGCAAAAUUGCUGUUUUCUUCUUCUCAGCUGUGUUCUUUAGGAAGCUGUCAAAACCAAUGACAGGACAGGGCCAUUGUGCGUGUACAGCACCGCAGGAGUCCAGCACUUACCUUAUUAUUCUUAAGAUAAUAAAAAAAUGCAAUAUUAUAACCACUGUGUCCUCAGUUCACAGCUGCAGCUUCCUCCUACAGACCCCGGUGCUGUUCUCCACAGAGGUAUGAGCUGAUCCUUGCCUCCGACAGGGCUAUCUUUACGGUUUUAGCAACGUAGAGGCUCAAGAUGGCACAUGGGGUGUUCGAGCUCUGCUGCUGGCCACCCUGGGCUGGACCUGAGUCUUGCCGAGCCCCGUGUACAGCCCCAGCAGCAGAAAUACAAUUUUCCGCCACCGCUUCCGGGGAAAGAAGCUCGAAAUGGGUUGGCAUGUUCUUGAACAUUUUGCCCUUACUUUCAGGCGGGAGAGUGGUACAGGAUUGAACGCCAGAGUGGUCUAGAAGAAUAAAAGGCGAUGUCUGUUCUCCAUCCAUCAGCCGCUAAACCGCAUUAAUCAGUGUCACAGAAGCUGUUCCUGGCUUACAUCCUGGCCUGAGUCCAGCUUGUGCUGGGACCGGUAUAUUGGUUUUGGAUAAAUUAGCUCUCAGUCAGUCUUUAGCUGUCUUGCCGGGGAAUUAUUGUGCUAUAAUACAGUCUGUAAUUACAUGCUCACAUGGUAUCUUUUCCAUUCAAUGCACAGGAUGGAAAUGUAUGGAGUAGCAUUAAGGUUGCAGGGACAAAUAUGAAUUUGACCUUCAAGUGCUUGCCUUUACAAUCUACAAAAACUUCCAUUUGGCAUAGCCUUUCAAAAAACUGUGUUUAUGUAGCGGCCUGAUUUGCCAGGCUGCACCAAGCAGGCAAAGUUUCUCCUCUGACGGGUGCAUAGUCAAAAAAUCCAUAAAAAGUAGAACAGCGCAAGCGAAAUCCAGUCACGGACACACACGGGCAGAGGAGUGAAGGAAGAGCCACGCUGCCGACAGCCACACGGCGCGGGGACACCUCAUCCGGGGGCCGUGCAGCAGCUCCGUUUGUACAUUCCCCUCUUCACACCCCUUUUUCACGUGCACCAAAAUUGCCUGGCUUCCUCCUGCUGCCUUGGAAAAGCCUUCUCCGGGGACGAGGCCGGUUGGCAUGGCACGAGGUGGGUCCGUGCCGCGGAGCAUCCUGCCCUUGAUGAGAGGUGAGAAGGUGAUGAGAGCACAGCCAGCAUGGAGGAGCACCAGAGAUGGCCAGAAGAAAGCCCUUUAAAUCAGAGUACAUACGGAAUUAAACGCAAUUAAUUGCUUAGAUACAAAGUGUUCUUUUCCCUGGGUGACUUUAAACCGCAAUUGUUCCAGCUGCUCUGCAUCCCCGACCCAUCCUCCCUCCCGCAGGCUCUUCCCCUGCAUCCCGCUCACCCAGCGAUGCUUUGAGUGCAAAGUAGCCGGUUUAGCGAUUGCACCGUUAGCUGUUCCAGCAUCGGCACCUAAGCCCAUUUCUGGCCUUCCUGACCCCUCAGUUUGCCAGCAAAAGCAUCGGUUUGGGUGAUGGUCUGGACGAUAAACGCUGUCCGCGUGGGGUGAGUCUGCCUCGCCGCAGCCCAACGCAUCUGACCUGUGCGGCAAACCCAGAUGUGAACAAAAAAGGGAAACGGUGUUACUAUAGCUCAUGAAACCCCAUUUUAAAUGCCAUUAUCUUUAGUCUUAUCAUGCAAAGAUUAUUAUAGCCGGUCUCAGAUUUUCAUGUCCAAGUGGGAAAACAAACUGUGGCAACAAAAGUAAUAACGCGACUAUUCAACAGGGCUUUGUAAGGACGGGCAUUAGCACAUCUGACUUCCACGUGUUCCAUGCCUGUGCAGUAAUUCACUGCUGAGGUCACUGAAAAAGCUUUAAAUGUCUUAUAAAUAAUAACAGGCUGAGGUUUGUAAAAUUUCUUUUGCUGAGGGAAGAAGCAAUUAAACCAUCCACUGGAAACUAUUAAUAUGUUCCAUAAUUAUUAGUAGACAGUUAGCGAGGCCAUUUUUUCACGACCAUCUCAGCAGAUGAGGUGCAAUAACAACACACUGCACUGCUAAGCCCACUUGUGGUAAAGUUUGCCCAGGUAAUUCUGCUUUUUGAUACAAGCAGAAUGUUUUUUCUCACAGUAUCACUAGUUAUGACCUGAGACAAGCACGCAUCUCCUCGAAGCGUGCAAAGUCUCUUCUAACUCAACAAGGAGGGAAAGAUGGGCUCAGGUGACUGCAGUGCCCGACUCCUAUCCACGCCGAUAACAAUGCGCGUCUGGGCCCACCGCAGCUGAAAGCUUCUGCUUGACAGAGCGACAAGGAACACAGAAUUUGUACAAAACCAGGCUCCUUUGGCACAGCCCCUUCAAAGGGCGGGAAGGGACUGAGCUCAUGAAUUUGGUUCCUUCUGGUCUUUCCUACUCUUCUCAAUUCGGAUAUUCUUCUGUAUUUUGCA